GUCCCAGUGGCCGAAUGGAUAAGGCAUCAGCCUGUGGAGGCUGGGGUUGUGGGUUUGAGUCCCACACUAGACA
rnacentral:tRNA from 1 species